CUUAGACAAUUUGAAGAGGCCUUCUUUUAAAAAAGAAUACAGUAACACUAUUUCAGCAAGAUUUAAAAAUACAUAGAUAGGAUGCUGUGGACUCAAAAGGUGCUGAAAGUGAGGGGCUCUGGAGGUGAGAGGCCUGGAGCUUAAGCAGACCCACAUGACUCUGUUUUUGCCUCAUUACAGCCAAAUACUGGAGGGUUCUACUCAGAGUGUGAGGCAGUGCUGCCCAGGAUCAGGGCAGGGGGGGUGGGAGGCAGUGCUUCUGGACAUGCUGGUGGGAACUGGGCUGUGAGAUCCACAGGGACAUUCCCCAGACCCACCAAAGCUCUCUCAAACUGUGUCACCUGGGCUAUUUCCUCUUCGAUUAUGUGUGUCCCCCACACCCACAGAGGUCUUGUCUGUGCCAUUCCACUGGUAGGACGGUGGUGUCACCUACCAGCUCUGGGAUGGCUUCCAGGUCCCACAGACCCCUCCCCACAAAGCCACACCCUGGAAUACCCUUCACAGUGUCUCUCACCUCAGAAACUUCCCCAGCUGGCAAAGGACCAGAUGGCUGCAUCAUCAAGUCAGGGAGAGCCAGUUUUUCAAAUAGUAAUUUGCUAAAUUAGCAAUUGCUAACUCUGAAAAAAAAAAUUGAGUACUUCAGUACUUAGGACUGUCUUAUGUCUAAAGCAUGACGAUUUCUUGUGUGACUUGUACUGCAGAUGUCAUGCAUGUCAAGAGUUUUAGGACUGUCCAUCCUGCCUUCUCUUUCCCUGCUUCAUGGAUCUGAGCUCACAGUACAUAAUGAGCCUACACAUCUUGUACACAUGAACCCUCCCAGCCACAAGGGAGCCAAGUCCGGACUCCUGGAGACUUGGUGUGUCAGUCACCAAAGGAAGAUGUCCCCAGCAUGUCACCAGUCACAUCCAUCCAUGUUAGUCAGGGUCUGGUGGAAAUUAGAAGGCACAUCAAAGGGGUACCUGAGGCAAAGCACACUUCACAAAGGUGUGGACAGACUAAGGGAACCAAUGAGAGAUGGUGAGGAACCAGAGACCAGCAAUAAUGGGAGUUGUUACGUCCUUGGGGCUGCAGGGGCAGGGAAGGAACAGUCCAGAUCGCCUCCCACCCCAUGUCCUACUGACAUCCCCCAUUGGCUGAACCAAAUUAGCCAGGAGGGUGAGGGAGCCCAGGUGACAGUUCAAGAGAGCAGGAUCCAGGGCAAGGAAAGAGGAGCGAGUGACGCAUGGACAUGGAUUCUCUGUAAACAGACUACCAGCUCAGCUUGCCAGGCUUCCAGUCUAGAAGUAACAUGGCAGCAGCUUAAUUCUAAGUUCCAUUCUCCUUCCUGAAACUACAUAGAGCAACCAAGAACACAAGAAGAAGAAGAAGAAAGCCCAUCACCAGCUCACACAUCAAACUUAACAACAGAGAAACUGGGAGGCUGGGGAAACCCAUAAAUUCAGAAGCAGGUGAGACCAGCAGAACCUACAUGGGACAACAGCGGAGAGCAGAAGGGCGAGGGGUGGGGAGGCACCGGUGUGGGGCUCUCAGGGCUUGCCAGCAAGGCUCAGUCCCAGGAGGAGAGGACCCUCCGAGUGAGGUCUGCUUGAGACAAACCUAAAACCUGAGGAGGGGAGGAAAGAAGAGGAACGUGCCCAGAGAGUCCAGAAGUGCCCAGGCUCAGAGGCACCUGCCAAGAAAGAAGCGAGCCCAGGGGAGAGACAAGACUGAAGCUCUGGAGGCUGCAACUGGGAAAGGAAGGCUGCCCAUAGAAUCUUCCUGAAGCCAGCGGGGUUCAGUGAGGCAGAGGGGUCACGGCUGCACUGGUGAAUCCAACACUUGCUUGUGUGAAAGAAAGGCAGGCUCCUGAGCAGAGGUGCCGGGGUAACUCCCCUGGCUCCACCCCCUGCCCCCCGGGAGUCUCAUGCUGAUGUCUGGAAAAUUCUGCUUCAGAUUCUAACUUCAGCGUCUGGAUAGCGUCCACAGGGGUUUUAUGAUUGAUAAGAAUUCGAUCCAGGAAUCCACUGCAUUUGGCUGGCAUCUCUCCUUGGUCACUGGCAGUUUUGUAGGACUGUGAUAACAGCAUCUCUGUCUUUUCUUGUCUUUCAUAACCUUGACACUUUUAACCAGUACUGAUUUGUUAUUUAUCUUGACCAUACGGUUUCUUGUUUAGAUUUAUCUGAUGUUUUCUCAUGAUUGGGCUGAGGUGACGCAUUUUUGCUAAGAGUGUUACUAAAUUGAUGUUGUAUACUUCACAGAACACCACCAUAUCACAGGGCUUCUGAUGUUGGUAUGUCUUACUGCUAGGGAUGUUAAUUGUGAUCAGUUGGUUAAGGGGUUUUCUGCUGGGUGUCUCUACUGUUGUGGUUAAGAAAUAUCUUGGGAGAGAUACUUGGAGAUUAUGCAAAUUAUGGUUCUCUUCAAACAUAGAAAAAAGUUUUUAAAUUGUAGUAUGUGUGAAAUAAAUCAGACAGAGAAAGACAAAUACCAUAGAUUUCCCUUACGUGUGGAAUCGAAGAAAUAAAAUAAGCAGAAUGAAAAUAGAUUCAUAAACACAGAGAAGAGAACAGUGGCUCCAGAAGAGACUAAGCAAUGGGGUAAAGAGGUACAAACUUCCAAGUGUAAAAUAAAUUCAUCACAAGGAUCAAAGUAUAGGAAAUAUAGUCAAUAAUAUGAUGACAGACAUCAACUACACUUAU